ACCUGCCUGUCACGCAGGGGGUCGCGGGUUCGAGCCCCGUCCGUUCCGCCA
rnacentral:tRNA from 2 species